ensembl:lncRNA
AUGACAUUGUGGUAGAUACUAAGUGAUGGGCAGGAUAGUGUUAGUUUGUUACAGACUAAAAAUAGUCCAGUGACAGUGUGAGUAAUAAUUAAAAAAAAAAAUUCUGCAAAGUAAUGAACAUGCUAGUUGUACUUCCUUUUUCACAUUUCCACACACAGAGUGAGAACAGUCUUUCUGCUGGGUUUGUGGUAUGUUGGUUUUGCUUCUGUUUCUAAUGUGAGGAGCUUUUUAAAAGAAGCUGAUCAGUAGCAGGAGCCAUUUCUGACUGUUAGCUGCUGGACAUAUGUGCAUGCCAUUUAAUAAAUACACACACUGAACAGUAAGGAGACAUGGAAGCUGUGCUGGGAUUAAUGGUGAUUCUCCUGGGACUGUCUCAUGGUGUGGAAACUCACUGUGAUGGCAGACAGGAUGGAACUCAGUGUUAUGGAGCUUUGGGAGGAACUGUGGACAUCCAGCUGAUGGACAGCACCUCAGAAAUAGCUGGAUACAACCUGUUAAAGAAUUCAUUAGUAAUACUAGUUGUCAGAAAUAAUAGUGUUAUUUUUAAUACCAUAGCACACAGGUCUCUCUUAUUUCCCAGUAAUGGAACAUUUAGGAUCAAUAACCUGAGCAGGAAUGACAGUGGUGAUUAUACCCUUCAAACCUUUGAGUCAGAUGGAAGAUCAUCAGGCAUGUGGACUUUACAGUUGUUUAUUCAAGCUCCUGUGUCCUCUGUCCUGCUGGUCUCUGAGUGUCUGUCCCAGGGAGAGAGGAAAGUGUCCUGCUCCUCUGAGGGAGGGGACAGUCCUCAGUACAGUUGGACUCUGGAUGGACGCACACUGACAGAUGCUGAGUUCCUUUCUGUAAAUAAUGAGGAUAACAUCAUUAUUCUGAAACAGCACAUCUCAGGACAUCUGGUCUGCUCAGUCAAGAACAACGUCAAUAGUGUCUCCAAAGAACAGAAGAUAUCUGCCUGUGGUGUGGGAACUUACUGUGAUGGCAGACAGGAUGGAGCUCAGUGUUAUGGAGCUUUGGGAGGAACUGUGGACAUCCAGCUGAUUGACAGCAUCUCUGAAAUACCUCGAUACGACCUGUUAAAGAAUUCAUUAGUAAUACUAGCUGUGAGGAGGAAAAAGGUUAUUUAUAAUACCAUAGCACACAGAUCUCUCUUUUUUCCCAGUAAUGGAAAAUUUAGGAUCAAUAACCUGAGCAGGAAUGACAGUGGUGAUUAUAUCCUUCAAACCUUUGAUUCAGAUGGAAGAUUAUCAGGCGAGCGGACUUUACAGCUGUUCAUUCAAGCUCCUGUGACCUCUGUCCUGCUGGUCUCUGAGUGUCAAUUCCUGGGACAGAGGAGGGUGUCCUGCUCCUCUGAGGGAGGGGACAGUCCUCAGUACAGCUGGACUCUGGAUGGACGCACACUGACAGAUGCUGAGCUCUCUUCUGGAAAUAAUGAGAGUAACAUCAUCACUCUGAAACAGCACAUCUCAGGAGAUCUGGUCUGCUCAGUCAGGAACAAUGUCAGUGACGUCUCCAAAGAACAGAGCAUAUGUACUUGUGUUCUCAGGUGCCUGUGCAGGUUGUUUGUGGAGCCGGCUCUACAUGAUAUUCUUUUCUUGCAGACUCUACACUCUACCUUUGUAUUGUCAAUAAAAUUGAAAUGGUUCCAGAUUUUGCAUCUUUUCUUGGUGUCACUCAUUUUCUUCACUAUACCUUUCUAAUGUGUUGAUGUUGUUUCUUGUUGUUGCCCCUGGCUCUCUUUCUCUCUCUCCCUCCUGCUCUGUUUGUGUGCUGCUGCUGCUGUGUAACUACCGCCCCUUCUCCCUCUGCUCAGCGUCAUUCACUUCAAAGAGUCAGCCCUACGAGCCGUUUCGUUCACGACCACCCAACACUAGACUGUGUGCCUGCAAGUCUUAAAGAUCACAAUUAACAAAAAAUAGUGGCAUCCACCAGUGAUACCUCUUAUCCUCCUAGUAGACACACCUAUGUUAUCUAUUUCACAAUUACUGAAUGUGAAUGUGAUUAGCCUUUGACAACUGGAAAAGGAUUUAACUAAUGUGAACCAUAGUAGUGGCUGAAUAGUAGUGGUGCAACGGAUCAAAAAUCUCACGGUUCGGAUCACGGUUUUAAGUCACGGAUCGGAUCAAUUUUCGGAUCAGCAAAAAAAGAAUAUUAUGCCUAUUAAAAACAUUCAACUCAAGACUCAUUCCACGCAAUUAUAUAAAAACAAAUUAAGGUGCAAUAUAGGGCAGUACAGGGCUUUGUAUCUGCCACUCCGCUGUGAUAUAAUGAGCGGUCACGGUCACGUACCUUUCCGUUGCCCUGGAGGUCCACCCAUUUGUAGUUGGGCAACAGAAGAUGCCUGGGACAGUUCAGCCAUAACUUUAAACUUUUCCUGCUCAUACAUGCCUGGGUACGAUCUUGUCACUGAAGUGGACGCGCAAAGGGAUAUCAUAGCAUGGCUCAAGCACGCUCAUCAUAGUUUAAACCCCUUGUUUUGCACAAGGGAAUACGGCCUCCCAUCUGCAGCUAAACACCCCAGUAGCUUUUGUAAUAGCUGUAGCCCAGUCGAAUUGGGCAGCAAAGGGCUGCUUAAAUGCCGCAAACUCCUCUGCUCCUCCACUUGGACCGCUAGCGCUGGCCAUAAUUAUCGCUUGACAGACUGACCACGCGCACCAUACACAUACUUUUUUUCCUUCUUUUUCGAAUCUUCGGAUCAAGUGCGUGCCGAACCGUGGAGUGGGAUCGGUUUGGAUUAUGGAUCAACCGUGAUCCGUUGCACGACUACUGAAAAGUGUAGUGGUUUGCACAUUUGCCUAAUGACCAAAAGAUCUUUUGCUCUUUGGAGGAAACAAAAAUCCCCUUGGGUUGCUUCAGAAAGGGUAUCUGGAAUGAUAUAUGUAAAAAAGAAAAUCUUACAAAUCAAAUACAUGCCACUACCUGGUGUGAUGAGUCUUUGUAAAUAAAGAGUCAGCAAAAAGUAGAUAUGAACCACAGUACAUAACAAAUAACUCUCCUGUCACAUCAUUAACUUUGCUUGUGAUUUUUGUGUCUCUGAACAGAUAUUUCCUUGCCUAUAUGUGGCUUGAGAGCUGUUGUGGUAAUUGUCUUAUUAAUUGGGAUUUCCAUCUACUUUACUUGGAAGAAAAAGAAAAAUGAAAAAGCUGAAGCCUCUGCUGUCCCGCAAACAGAAUUCCCAGAAAACUCUGUUUUGAUGGUCGAAAUGAGAAGUUCUGCAACUUAGACCAACACUAAGUUGCAAAUUUCAUCUAGUGAAGCUAUGAGUGUUUUUGGAUUUGGAUUCUGUGGAAACUAAUAGAAAAAAAGAUGUAAGAAGAGUAGUCCAUAGUCAUUUGCCACUUUUUUUCUAGGUAAAGCUGAAAUUAGAUAACGCUAUAAACAAAAAGAAUCAGCCCACUUGUCACUGCUGUUUAUACUAAAUUUUAUUUCAGCAAUCUUAAACAGUUUUUUAAAUGAUGCUUUCUGUCUUUUCUUUGGGAAUUUGUUGAAAAAACGUAUUCAGCAUUUUGGAGAGUUAAAUAUGUUUUUGCCAGUGUAUUGACAAAUAAAUAAAGAUGUAAAUACUGUUCGCUUACUGAAGUGAAAAUCCUAUAUCGAAAUAUGAUGUUAUAAAAUAAGUUUACAUUGUACUAAAGAUUGCAUUUAAUUUAGUAAAUAUUCAUAUUGUAUACUUUGCUUUUACUUCUACUUCUACACUGCAAAAAUAAUUUUAUAUAACAUAUUAAAAUUCAUAGUGUACAUUAGGUGAUUUACAGACAUAGUCAUACACCUCUGUAAUGUUUGUGAAAACAAAUAUUUUAGUUGACUAAAUAAUCAUGCAUUAAACAGUAAAUGAUUUUUGUACUCAGUCUAUUUCAUGCCCAUGCUUAUCGUCAC